rnacentral:rRNA from 1 species
GAUGAACGCUGACCGAAUGCUUAACACAUGCAAGUCUUUGGUGAAGCUGUGCUUGCACCGCCUAGCCAAGGCGGACGGGUGAGUAACGCGUAAGGAACUUGCCCUGCAGUCAGGGAUAACAGACGGAAACGACUGAUAAGACCUGGUAAAGUCAGGCGGACUCAUGUCCAGCCUGAUGAAAAGAGAUGCUGCAGGAGAGCCUUGCGUCCUAUUAGCUUGUUGGUGGGGUAACGGCCCACCAAGGCAAUGAUAGGUAGCCGGCCUGAGCGGGUGGACGGCCCCAAGGGGACUGAGAUACGGCCCUUACUCCUACGGGAGGCAGCAGUGGGGAAUAGUGGACAAUGGCGGCAACACUGAUCCAGCAAUUCUGUGUGCACGAUGAAGGUUUUCGGAUUGUAAAGUGCUUUCAGCAGGGAAGAAAAAAAUGACGGUACCUGCAGAAGAAGCGACGGCUAAAUACGUG